CAGUUCGGACUGUAGUCUGCAACCCGACUACACGAAGCUGGAAUCGCUAGUAAUCGCGAAUCAGAAUGUCGCGGUGAAUACGUUCCCGGGUCUUGUACACACCGCCCGUCACACCAUGGGAGUCGGGAAUGCCCGAAGUCAGUGACCCAACCUAUUGGAGGGAGCUGCCGAAGGCAGGUCUGAUAACUGGGGUGAAGUCGUAACAAGGUAAC
rnacentral:rRNA from 1 species